rnacentral:rRNA from 1 species
UGUACGCUGGCGGCAGGCCUAACACAUGCAAGUCGAGCGGUAGCACAGAGAGCUUGCUCUCGGGUGACGAGCGGCGGACGGGUGAGUAAUGUCUGGGAAACUGCCUGAUGGAGGGGGAUAACUACUGGAAACGGUAGCUAAUACCGCAUAACGUCGCAAGACCAAAGUGGGGGACCUUCGGGCCUCAUGCCAUCAGAUGUGCCCAGAUGGGAUUAGCUAGUAGGUGGGGUAACGGCUCACCUAGGCGACGAUCCCUAGCUGGUCUGAGAGGAUGACCAGCCACACUGGAACUGAGACACGGUCCAGACUCCUACGGGAGGCAGCAGUGGGGAAUAUUGCACAAUGGGCGCAAGCCUGAUGCAGCCAUGCCGCGUGUGUGAAGAAGGCCUUCGGGUUGUAAAGCACUUUCAGYGGGGAGGAAGGCGWUAAGGUUAAUAACCUUGKCGAUUGACGUUACCCGCAGAAGAAGCACCGGCUAACUCCGUGCCAGCAGCCGCGGUAAUACGGAGGGUGCAAGCGUUAAUCGGAAUUACUGGGCGUAAAGCGCACGCAGGCGGUCUGUCAAGUCGGAUGUGAAAUCCCGGGGCUUAACCUGGGAACUGCAUUCGAAACUGGCAGGCUAGAGUCUUGUAGAGGGGGGUAGAAUUCCAGGUGUAGCGGUGAAAUGCGUAGAGAUCUGGAGGAAUACCGGUGGCGAAGGCGGCCCCCUGGACAAAGACUGACGCUCAGGUGCGAAAGCGUGGGGAGCAAACAGGAUUAGAUACCCUGGUAGUCCACGCCGUAAACGAUGUCGAUUUGGAGGUUGUGCCCUUGAGGCGUGGCUUCCGGAGCUAACGCGUUAAAUCGACCGCCUGGGGAGUACGGCCGCAAGGUUAAAACUCAAAUGAAUUGACGGGGCCCCGCACAAGCGGUGGAGCAUGUGGUUUAAUUCGAUGCAACGCGAAGAACCUUACCUGGUCUUGACAUCCACAGAACUUUCCAGAGAUGGAUUGGUGCCUUCGGGAACUGUGAGACAGGUGCUGCAUGGCUGUCGUCAGCUCGUGUUGUGAAAUGUUGGGUUAAGUCCCGCAACGAGCGCAACCCUUAUCCUUUGUUGCCAGCGGUCCGGCCGGGAACUCAAAGGAGACUGCCAGUGAUAAACUGGAGGAAGGUGGGGAUGACGUCAAGUCAUCAUGGCCCUUACGACCAGGGCUACACACGUGCUACAAUGGCAUAUACAAAGAGAAGCGACCUCGCGAGAGCAAGCGGACCUCAUAAAGUAUGUCGUAGUCCGGAUUGGAGUCUGCAACUYGACUCCAUGAAGUCGGAAUCGCUAGUAAUCGUAGAUCAGAAUGCUACGGUGAAUACGUUCCCGGGCCUUGUACACACCGCCCGUCACACCAUGGGAGUGGGUUGCCAAAGAAGUAGGUAGCUUAACCUUCGGGAGGGCGCUUACCACUUUGUGAUUCAUGA